AGACGAAAGCACAGUUCUGAGCAUGAGAGCUCACAUUCUGUUUCUACCAGGUGCUUGAAGAAAAGCAAGACAGGUGGUUAAGACUGAAGAGUUGAUCCUGCGCUGUGCUGUGGAGUGGGCAGCUUCUCUCCAUCUUCUCUCACCCUGACAGACUGUCUUAGGAUUCCAGUCUCAGAAGCCAGUCUUGAGGCUGAAGUGCAGUGGUGUGAUCCUGGUUCACUGCAGCCUCUGCCUCCCAGGUUCAAGCAAUUCUCUCACAUCAGCCUCCCAAGUAGUUGGAAUUACAGGAACAUAAGCUCCAGGAAAGCCACAGACUAUGGCCACCUACAUCUUGAAGCUCAGUGCCUGCCCUUGGGAGACACUAAAUGGAGUCUUGCUCUGUCGUCAGGCUGGAGUACACUGGCGUGAUCUGGGCUCACUGCAACCUCCGCCUCCCGGGUUCAAGCGAUUCUCUGUCUCAGCCUCCCAAGUGGCUGGGACUACAGGCAUGCGCCACCAUGCCAGCCUAAUGUUUUGUAUUUUAGUAGAGACGGGGUUUCACUAUGUUGGCCAGGAUGGUCUCAAUCUCCUGACCUCAUGAUCCACCUGCCUCGGCCUCCCAAAGUACUGGGAUUACAGGUGUGAGCCACCGCGCCCAGCCUCAUGAGGGUUAUUAAGCACAUAAUUAUAGAAUGUGUUUUCUUCUUUUAACUACGACAAGCAUUGUUCAGUAUUCUGUGGGUUUUUCUUUCUCCUUGCAAUGUCAACAGAAUACAUAAUGAGAAAGGUCAUGUCAGGGUCUUUUUGUUUCUCAAAGAUAUCUGAUGAAAUCUGAGGAAGUCAGCUUUACAAAUAACAUAAACUCUGGAGCUCGGUAAGCUGAACGAGUUAGUCUUGGAAGAGUUGCCUCUGCAGCACUGCUACUCAGAACUUCUAUGAAAACCACAAGAAGUGGUGAGAGGAAGCGGCAAAAUCAAUGACAGAACACAAAUACCCUUUUCCGCCAACCGCUUAAAAGGAAAUUAUGAGGGGCUGGGUCGGUGGUUCGGUGGCUCAUGCCUGUAAUCCCAACACUUUGGGAGGCUAAGGCGAGAGGAUUGCUUGAGUUCAGGAGUUUGAGACCAGCCAGGGAAACAUACAGAGAUGUCAGCUGUACAAACGAUAAUAAAAAGAAAAUUAUCCAAGCAUGGUGGUACACGCCUGUUGUCCCCACUACUUGGGAGGCUGAGUGGGAGAGGCUGAGGUUGGCAGAUUGCUUGAGCCAUGAUCACACCACUGCACUCAGUCUGGGUGACAGAGUAAGACCCAGUCUCAAAACAACAACAACAACAACAACAACAACAACAAAAACCAGAAAAUUCUUCACAACGGUUAUACAUUUUCUCAAUAAUAUACAAAUUUGAGAAAUGUGAAGUACAUUUAAGUGAAUUAUGUAAAAUAUAACACAGACUUCAUAUAUUCAAUUCACAAAUAAAUUUUCUAGGUUCUUUACUUUUUCAUGUUCACACAUGUUUUAUGAAGAACAUCUGGUCACCUAAGAAGAAUAAAAUAAAAACCCAUCAAACAGAAAUAUUCAUAUCCUCCCCAAACAGUAUUAUCUUAAACACAAUUACAAACGUAUUUAAUUACACAAGUGAGAAUCUUAAGCUGAGAGAAGAAAAUUUCUAGAGAAAUUUCUUUUGUUCAUUAUAGGAUUAUUUCAAUACUGAAGGAUAGUCUUCGACAUUAAAAUUGCUUCCUUUUAAAGUGUACAAAUGCCAGUGUAAAAGGAAACAUCAUAACAUCCAUUUCAGCCUUAAUUUUCUAAUGGCUCAGGCCGUUUUUAUACAGUAUAUUCUUCUCCAGUCUCUUAAGAUAGUUUGGAAACAGUACCUGUUGAAACUUUCAGAGAGCAGUCUACCAUAUAUCCCUUGAUCCUCAAUUUCUAAUUUAGAUUCAUUUGUGAUUGUUACAGUUAUAAGUAAUGUACAUUUAAGAAAGAUAUAUCUGUAGAACAGUUUCUGCAUUUAUAUGUGUAUAUAAAUUAUAUGUCUGCUAAAUUUUUUUUGGCCUUUGUACUUGAAAAAAAAUUAACAGAUGUUAAAAUAUUUGGCUCACAAGCAAUUUUUGUUAAAAACAAUCUGUAGAUAAUGCUUCCUUAUUUUUCUUGGAUUAAUGUAAAAUCAGGAUUAAUUUGCUUUGUGUACCUGGGAAAUAAUCUCGUUUGUAUGCUUGUUUCUAGGAUGUCUUUUACUCUUCAUAAUAAUAAAAAGUCAGUGCAUGUCAGUAUAUACAUAUCCUUCUUGAUUUUAUCUGGAAAUUAUUAGGUUUGAUCUCAAUUAUUUAUCAUUUAUAUCCAUUAGCUUUUUAACCCAUAAUUGUCAUUAUUAAAAUUUUUUCAUAUUUACUACUGUG
rnacentral:antisense_RNA from 1 species